GCUAGUCGAGUGACUCAGCCAUACGAGUCACGGCACACAGCUCAGUAACACGUGGCUAACCUGCCCUUGGGACAGAAACAACCCCGGGAAACUGGGGCUAAUUUCCGAUAGGCAAAGAACUCUGGAAUGAGUCUUUACCUAAAAGAGAUUGCGUUAUGCUCGUAAUUUCGCCCAAGGAUGGGGCCGCGACCGAUCAGGUUGUUGGUGAGGUAAUGGCUCACCAAGCCUUUUACCGGUGCGGGCCGUGGGAGCGGGAGCCCGGAGAUGGGCACUGAGACAAGGGCCCAGGCCCUACGGGGCGCAGCAGUCGCGAAAACUUUGCAAUAAGCGAAAGCUUGACAGGGCUAUCCCGAGUGCCAUCCGCUGAGGAAGGCUUUUACCCAGUCUAGAACGCUGGGGGAAUAAGGAGAGGGCAAGUCUGGUGUCAGCCGCCGCGGUAAUACCAGCUCUCCGAGUGGUGUGGAUGUUUAUUGGGCCUAAAGCAUCCGUAGCUGGCUAAGUUAGUCCCCUGUUAAAUCCACCGAAUUAAUCGUUGGAUUGCGGGGGAUACUGCUUGGCUAGGGGACGAGAGAGGCAGACGGUAUUUUCGGGGUAGGGGUGAAAUCCUAUAAUCCCGGGAGGACCACCAGUGGCGAAGGCUGUCUGCUAGAACGCGCCCGACGGUGAGGGAUGAAAGCUGGGGGAGCGAACCGGAUUAGAUACCCGGGUAGUCCCAGCUGUAAACGAUGCAGACUAGGUGUUUGGACGGCCACGUGCCGUUCUAGUGCCGCAGGGAAGCUGUUAAGUCUGCCGCCUGGGGAGUACGAUCGCAAGAUUGAAACUUAAAGGAAUUGGCGGGGGAGCACCACAAGGGGUGAAGCUUGCGGUUUAAUUGGAGUCAACGCCGGG
rnacentral:rRNA from 1 species